rnacentral:rRNA from 1 species
UUAGAUACCCCACUAUGCCUAGCCAUAAACCUAGAUAGUUACAUAACAAAACUAUUCGCCAGAGAACUACUAGCAACAGCUUAAAACUCAAAGGACUUGGCGGUGCUUUAUACCCCCUAGAGGAGCCUGUUUA